AGAGAGAGAGAGAGAGAGAGAGAGAGAGAGACCGUUUUUGAGUGUAAUUAGUGGCCCUGAGUAAGAAGUUUGUCUUGGGGGCAAGCUGCAUGAAAAAGGAAAGUUGCACGGAGAAAGAUAGGGCACAGAGGGCAAAGAGGGGGCGAGCGUGCAUCAGAAUCACAGAGAAGGGCACGAUGACAUAGAGAGGCGCGUGCUUCAACUAGAGAGAGAGACCAUUUUCAGUUUAGUUGGUGGCCCUGAGUAGGAAGUUUGUCUUGGGGGCAAGCUGCAGGGAAAGGGAAAGUUGCAGAGAGAGAUAGGGCAGAGAGGGAGCUAGCGUGCUUCAGGUUCACGGAGAGGGGCGCAAUGAGAGAGAGAGAGAGGCAUGUGCUUCAACUAGAGAGAGAGAGACUGUUUUGAGUGUAGUUGGUGGCCCUGAGUAAGAAGCUUGUCUUGGGGGCAAGCUGCAGAAGAUGCUCUCCAGGAGAGAGAAGCCUUUGAAGUGGACCGUCCAUUUGAGGGGCGCGGUCAGAACCAUUGGCGUAAACAAGCUACCUAUGCAACUUCG
rnacentral:lncRNA from 1 species